UUGAAGCUUGUGAAUCUGGAAGUAUCUUUGAGGGUCUUCUUCCUGAAGGCAUGAAUAUAUAUGCAACCACUGCAUCCAAUGCGGAAGAGAGCAGUUGGGCAACCUAUUGCCCAGGAGACUAUCCUAGUCCUCCACCCGAAUACGAAACCUGCUUGGGUGACUUGUAUAGUGUUGCCUGGAUGGAGGACAGGUGUGCAUUACUUUUUUAUUGUGUCAAUCAUCAUUAAAAGAUCAACAUAGGUAUCGGGAAAAAAUUAUUUGCAUCAUUAGUUGAGAUAGUUGGAUUGUUCAAGCUUUAUCUGCUGGAAGCAGAAAUAUUAAUUAACCAAAAGCAGAUUUGGUAACAUUAUAUAGUGGAUAAAUUAAAGGAAAAGAAUAAGGUUAUCUUGAUAAUAAUAUAAUUUUGAGGGGUUAUGACUAGAGUAUUUAUUGACCGUAUUUGGCUUUUUGUUCGUUAAUUGACAUUCAAAUCUCUGUCUUCAUGAGCAGUGAUAUACACAAUCUGCGGACUGAAACUUUGAAGCAACAAUACCAAGUGGUAAGAUCAUGAGGCCAGCUAUAUGAUCAACUUGAGCAGUUUGUUUAAACUAGUUCCCCUUAGGCAUCAUUUGUCCCUUUGCUUGUGUCUUAUGGAUUUAUUAUGUUGGCAUUUUCAGGUCAAAAAGAGAACUUCAAAUGAUAAUUCUUACUACGACGGAUCCCAUGUCAUGCAAUAUGGUGAUCUACAGCUAAGCUUGGAGCAUCUUUUCGUGUAUAUGGGUUCAAAUCCCGCAAACGAUAAUUUCACCUUUGUGGAUGACAAUUCCCUGCGGCCAUCUUCAAAAGCCGUUAACCAGAGAGAUGCUGAACUUUUGCAUUUCUGGAAUAAGGUAUGCACGGCUUUUGUUUUUACAACAUCGACUCCUCUUUAUGCUUCAAUAUUUGUUUCUAGAUGGUAGCUUUUGGGGUUAAUGUGCAGACAUUGUGUAGAAGCUCCAAGAAUUGAAACAAUGUAAUGUGCACCAUAGUUUGCUUAAAAAAUCAGAUGCAAACAUAUAUAAACUUAUAUGUAAUAAAUAUGAAUCAAAUUUUUUACAUUCAUUUGCCGUAAUUCGUCCUUCAAUUUGUUGUGUAUGUAUAAUUGACUGGUGCUGGAUAUAUUCAUCCCAUGACACUGUUGAUUCGAGAGUGAGUUUCAAGUUUGGAUAUAUCAUCAGCUUUUUUGGGCAAAUCUUAUUUACUCACCCUUAUCCCACG
rnacentral:lncRNA from 1 species